CGUGCAGCUCCGCGACACGCCGGGAGUUGCGGUGCUGCUGCUCGGGCUGGCGUAGGUUCACUGCAUAACGCUGACAACGGCGGUAACGCACCGACGGCCAGGGAGCUACACCGGUUUCUCCGGGAUAGGCAUCCAUAGUUUUGGAGAUUUAAACCAAAUCCUAAGGAAACUGUAUGCAUAUGAGAAAAUACGUGAGCUGCAAUGAAUGAACUACCAGUGAGGAGGGAGAUGGGCAGCAUAUCCUCUGUGAAGAAUCUGCAGUGCUGAAACUCAUUCUUGCCUUCUAAAUUGGAAGAAAGUGGAUUAUUGGAAGCUAAUCUCAGGUUUAUUACUGGACGCUGUGGAAUUAACACAGGAAUUAACGGGAGGCCUAUCUCUUUGCACCUGGGUGGGAUAAUGGCAGAAACUGCAGGUUAAUAAAACCUUCUCUUGCACACACAAUCUAUUCAUUAUUUGCUUGUCUGUUUGUUUUUGUAGGAAGUUUAUUUCUUCUAUUUACCAGAUAUAUCAGGAGUCCUAUAACUUAUUAUAUUUAAGGAAGUAGCCACAGCAUAGCACCUUUUCACAAAACUUUUUGUGAAAAAUGUAUUUUAAGAGGCAAACAACCUCUUUGGUUUUAUUUUAAAUUAUGCUGCCCUUAUAGGAACCAUUUUUUCUGCAUGUUUACAUUAUUUUGAAAUAGAAAGCUUUAAUUACAACAUGAAAUGGAGCAUCUAAGAUUUUUGACAUGUAACAAAAAAAACCCAGUAUUAAAAUAUGACCCCUGGUACAUGGGGCAGUGACAGUGCACAGCCUAAACUAUCCUCUGUAAAAAUCAUGGAUAUACUGUAGCUGAUUCAGCCAGAUUUCAGCUGGAUAAAGCAUUACAAAGAGCAUUAUACAAACAUUUUAGGAAAUAAAACAUCUAUACAGCAGAAUAUACUCUCUCCCUGGACACUGCUUAACAUUAAAUAGAGGAGUGGAGUGCCAAGUCCUGGGAUGUUUUAGCAUCACACUUGUGCUGGAAUGUCAUUAUCAUCAUACCCAUGAUCGAAUGAUCAACAUACUCAUUUUCACACUUUUGAACAAGAGAUUAAUGCUUUCUCUGAUCUCUUAGUGCACACUCAGUGAAAGCCACACACCUAUAGCCUGUGUACUCCACAGGUGCAGGCUUACAAGCCCUUAAGUUUUCAGUUGUCUGUGUACAUAAGUGAAAGGGGAGAUGAGUCAUGAUAACUAAUUGUUCCUGUCUGAACAGGAGUGUGCAAGCUAAUAUGUAGAUAGUAAGGAUAAUACAGGCAUUACAGCUUGAAUCAAGUAUAAAUCUUAAACUAGCAGAUUGGUUAAGACAUGCCUGCAGAAACAGCUUUGACCUUAAAGUCACAGUAAAUAUCUGAUUUACCAUGCCAGUGUACUAAUAAAGCAGUAAUAGACAUUAGAUUAGCAUAUUAUACAUUGAAUGGCUACUAUAUUAGAAGUAAGCAUAUCAGAACUGGGCAAUGAUGAAUUGAAGGUUUUAUUCAUGAAUUACCACAUACAGAUUAGAUACUGUAUUUAUUUUUUUUAAAUACUUGUUACCUUUCUUUUUUUAGGAAAAAAAUGUUUACUUGGUUUUGUUCAACAUUUCAGAAGAAACUGGUAUAGUCUAUUCUUUCAGUAAACCAUUGAAUAAUAGGUCAGUAACACAGUUUAUAAGCUAUGCUCUCAAUCCAUGCCAUAGUGCUUUGAGAACGUGUCAACACUCA